GAUAGAUCUACACGAACUAGGACAACCUUUACACUAUAAGGGGUAAACCUUACAGCAGGACAACCUACAGUUUGUGAUUGAUCUAUAAAUUUUAAUUUUAGAUUUAAUAAUUAGAUUAUAAAUUAGAUCUAAUCUAAAAAAUAAUCUAAGCAUAUAUAAAUAAUCAUGUAACAAACAACCUAGGCUCUGAUACCAAUUGAAGGAACCAGAUCUAGGGUUUUAGGGUUAGAUCUUGAAACUUUUUCAAGAUCAAACAGCGGAAGACUAAAAUAAAUCAAAAUUUAUCUUAUAAAAUUAGAGAAUACGUAGAUCUAAGAUCCAAUUAUAUGAUUAUUAUAUGGCAUUAAAUCAAAAAUUAAAAUAUAAAGAGCAAGAACUACAUGUUGAUCAUAUCAACAUAUUUCUAUACUACAUCUAAUGUAUGUUAAAUAUAAUAGAUC
rnacentral:lncRNA from 1 species